rnacentral:rRNA from 1 species
UACGGAGGAUUCAAGCGUUAUCCGGAUUUAUUGGGUGUAAAGGGAGCGUAGACGGCCAGGCAAGUCUGGAGUGAAAGCCCAAAGCUCAACUAUGGGACUGCUCUGGAAACUAUAUGACUGGAGUGCAGGAGAGGUGAGCGGAAUUCCUAGUGUAGCGGUGAAAUGCGUAGAUAUUAGGAGGAACACCAGUGGCGAAGGCGGCUCACUGGACUGUAACUGACGUUGAGGCUCGAAAGCGUGGGGAGCAAACAGG